rnacentral:rRNA from 1 species
GACGAACGCUGGCGGCGCGCUUAACACAUGCAAGUCGAGCGAGAACCUAGGCUUCGGCCUAGGGGACAGCGGCGAACGGGUGAGUAACACGUGGGUAAUCUGCCCUCGACAUCGGGAUAGCCCGGGGAAACCCGGAUUAAUACCGAAUGGCCCAUCCGCUUUUCGGAGCGGCUGGAAAAGGUAGCUUCGGCCUCCGGUCGAGGAGGAGCCCGCGGCGGAUUAGCUUGUUGGUGAGGUAAUGGCNCACCAAGGCGACGAUCCGUAGCUGGUCUGAGAGGACGAUCAGCCACACUGGGACUGAGACACGGCCCAGACUCCUACGGGAGGCAGCAGUGGGGAAUCUUGCGCAAUGGGCGAAAGCCUGACGCAGCGACGCCGCGUGAGGGAUGACGGCCUGGUGUAAC